GACGAACGCUGGCGGCGUGCUUAACACAUGCAAGUCGAGCGGUAAGGCCCUUUCGGGGGUACACGAGCGGCGAACGGGUGAGUAACACGUGGGUGACCUGCCCUCAGCUCUGGGAUAAGCCUGGGAAACCGGGUCUAAUACUGGAUAUGACUCCAUGACGCAUGUUGUGGGGUGGAAAGCCUUGUGCGGCUGAGGAUGGGCCCGCGGCCUAUCAGCUUGUUGGUGGGGUGANGGCCUACCAAGGCGACGACGGGUAGCCGGCCUGAGAGGGCGACCGGCCGCACUGGGACUGAGACACGGCCCAGACUCCUACGGGAGGCAGCAGUGGGGAAUCUUGCGCAAUGGGCGAAAGCCUGACGCAGCGACGCCGCGUGA
rnacentral:rRNA from 1 species